rnacentral:piRNA from 1 species
AACUUUGGUAGCUGUAUAGUGGGCAACU